UCCAGGAUUACAAAUGAUGAAGAUAUCCCAAUAGAAGGUCAUGGAAUAGUUAAACAGGUGCUGAAUAAUCUCUGUUUGCUUUGUUUCUGUCUCUGUAAUUUAGUAUGCUGGGGUCUUUCCCGUUUUGUUCUUUAUAUGGAUAAGUGUGGCUUCUGUUUCUGUCUCUGUAAUUUAGUAUGCCGGGGCCUUUCCCGUUUUGUUCUUUAUAUGGAUAAGUGUGGCUUGGCUAAGUUUGGUUUCAGUGUUAUUUCUGUUUUUCAAAGAUAUAUCUUAUUUUUUGUUUCUCUGACAUGGACAAUACUGAGUAGUUGUUGUUGUUGUUGUUGUUGUUGUUGUUGUUGCUUCUAACGAUGAUUGUUGAAACAUUACUUAACUCUCA
rnacentral:lncRNA from 1 species